rnacentral:tRNA from 1 species
GCAUUCAUGGUCUAAUGGUUAGGAUGUAAGCCUCGAAAUGCUCUCUGCCAUCGAAUAUAACUAACAGGAAGCAGUGUUGCCUUCCAAGCAAUAGGUUCGGGUUCGAUUCCCGAUGAAUGCA